CACACACCCAACAUUCUUCUUGAUGGAUUCCAAACAAUAGCUUCCAGGGAAACCAUUGCUAGGAGUUCAGGAAAAGUAAAGGUCCUGCCAAUUCCAGAAGGACAAAGGGUUUCAGCCACUAACAAGGGAACAAAAUGAUCUCAUUGCCCCUUUCCCACUGAGACUGUAAGUGGGAUCCUUCUCAAAUUCAGAGCGCUCACUUACAGGCACAGUCACUGUUUCCACACAAUGGGACCCAUGUGGAAGGACAGCCAAACCAGGAAACAGAUUCCAGAGGCGUGGGCCAGGACUGAACAUGGACUCUCCAAUGACAGGCAUGCAUCUCUGGGGCACCAGACUGUGCUCAACUGUAAUUCCUUGUGACUCCCGCAUGCCUCCAAGAACACAGGGCCGAACAACCCAACUGCCUCUGCAAACCCAGGGUUUCUCCAGGACCUACUUGGAAAGCAUGCGACUUGGGAACGCACAGGUGUUCAUUCCUUGGUGUCUGCCAGGCACCCGCCUUAUAGCUCUCCAGAAAACCAGACGGCAUCGGGAUGUGUGUCCCGUCUGAAGCCUUUGGCGUUAAUUUCUAAAGCACGGUCGUGAACAUCAACAUCAAAACACAGCUCCUGUGUAAUAUUAAACACUUUUAGAAACAAAAAUUGACUGUCUUGCUAUUCUAACUUUCCCCAGUCGGUAGUUUUAACUCUCAACAUGGACUCCACAGGCCAACCCCAGCGUCACCAUUCUGUUAGAGGCACUUCAAAUAAAUUUUUAACAGCAUGUUGCUAUCUCCCCUGGCACAUUUCAUAGAUGAGGUCAAGUCUCAGGUAA